UGGCUUAGUUGGUUAAAGCGCCGGUCUAGCGAAUACGGAAUCGUGGGUUCGAAUCCCAC
rnacentral:tRNA from 1 species